UACGGAGGGUGCAAGCGUUAUCCGGAUUCACUGAGUUUAAAGGGUGCGUAGGCGGCUAUUUAAGUCAGUGGUGAAAUCCAACAGCUUAACUGUUGAACUGCCAUUGAUACUGGAUGGCUUGAGUACAGACGAGGUAGGCGGAAUUUAUGGUGUAGCGGUGAAAUGCAUAGAUACCAUAAAGAACACCGAUUGCGAAGGCAGUUUACUAGGCUGUAACUGACGCUGAGGCACGAAAGUGUGGGGAUCAAACAGG
rnacentral:rRNA from 1 species